rnacentral:rRNA from 1 species
AGCCUGAUCAGCAAUGCCGCGUGAGUGAAGAAGGCCUUCGGGUUGUAAAGCUCUUUUGUCAGGGAAGAAACGGGUGAGGUUAAUACCUUUGCCUAAUGACGGUACCUGAAGAAUAAGCACCGGCUAACUACGUGCCAGCAGCCGCGGUAAUACGUAGGGUGCAAGCGUUAAUCGGAAUUACUGGGCGUAAAGCGUGCGCAGGCGGUUAUACAAGACAGAUGUGAAAUCCCCGGGCUCAACCUGGGAAUUGCAUUUGUGACUGUAUGGCUAGAGUGUGUCAGAGGGGGGUAGAAUUCCACGUGUAGCAGUGAAAUGCGUAGAUAUGUGGAGGAAUACCGAUGGCGAAGGCAGCCCCCUGGGAUAACACUGACGCUCAUGCACGAAAGCGUGGGGAGCAAACAGGAUUAGAUACCCUGGUAGUCCACGCCCUAAACGAUGUCUACUAGUUGUCGGGUCUUAAUUGACUUGGUAACGCAGCUAACGCGUGAAGUAGACCGCCUGGGGAGUACGGUCGCAAGAUUAAAACUCAAAGGAAUUGACGGGGACCCGCACAAGCGGUGGAUGAUGUGGAUUAAUUCGAUGCAACGCGAAAAACCUUACCUACCCUUGACAUGUACGGAAUCCUGAAGAGAU